rnacentral:misc_RNA from 1 species
GACUUCCAAGCUCAUGCCAAAGUUUUAUUGAUAAAUAAUGCGUUGCGCUUGAUUUUUAUUAUUUUGAAGUUAACCAAGACAAGAAGUAAACUUUUAAAGUAAAUUAUGUUCGUAGUGUUAAGUUAAAGUCGUGUUCAAGUUCGCUUUCUUGGUUUCGCCGGAUGUCACAGAAAUAAACUUCUGUAGUAAAUAAAACCUGAUAUUCUUGAAAAUGUCAGAAAAUAAUAAAAAGAAAACCGGAAGUUUCCGGAAGUUGUUUCCAAAUUUAUUUUUCUCGAGUAAAACAAGAGGAAAGACGAGCAAAGAUUCGAAGUCGACCUUGAAAUGUAACGCUGAUUUGUCAAUAAGCAAUCAAUAUCAGAGCCCACGAUCGAUAAGAUCAGAUAAGUAUGCUCAAGGAGACGAUAGCGAGCGAAUAUAUGAAAAUUUAACGACAACAAACAUACAAUCCGAUAAUGAAACCUUGAACAUCGAUAUACCGAGCAAUCAUUCGUCGAGUAGCACGCUUGUUUCUGAGAGUGUCAAAAAUAGAAAUCUCCAUUUAAACGAACCGGUUGCACGUUUCGUCGGAAAAGAGUGCUCGCAUUACGCGGCCAGACCGCAGGUACCUCCGAAGCCCCAGAACGAAAUGGUUCAUCCGACGGCGAACACUAAUUACGAUAAUUCACUCUACCCAGACGUUUAUUACCAUUCACUCGAGAAGCUGUCUGAUAAAAUAUCGCCUUUGGAUGAAAUUGAAAUUUAUAAGGCGUCGCAGGCUCAAGUGAAUCCUGCAUCUGUUGGUGCUGAAAUAAAAAGAGUCAGCACAAAAUUCUUAAUAUCUCCGAAAAAAGAAGCAGAAGUGCGUACUAUACAGCCGACUAGAGCUCGAAGCCUGUCUCUAGAAAAGGAAGGAAAUUGUCAUGAAGUAAAAAAGGAAGUAAGCCAGACAAAUGUGAAGAAACCAUAUAAUUACUCAGCACCGACGUCUCCAAUGCCCGUAACUCAUAAGAUACCAUCCAUGCCUAAGACGGUUUCUCCAUACGGCCAUUUGAGAAGAAACAUGAUCGAAAUCGAGGAAAAAAGGAAUUCGUUGAACAGAACCGGUCAACGCAACAGACCUUUGUCACCAUCAAGAUCGGAUUUUAAUUACCAGUCUACUCCUACAUCACAAAAUGAAGGGCCUAGACCUGAAGAAAACGAAAAAGAAAAAACGAGGCAAAAAGUUGAAGCGUUUUACUGGCAAAAAUUGAGAGAAAUGCGCCAGAAAGAAGAUGAAUAUUUGCUUAAGCAGUCACUAAGAGGUUCUGCUCGAAAUGCUUCUACAUUAUCGAAUUGUAGUUCUCCGAAUUCAUUUACUGUAGAACCUAGAAGCUACAGCCUCCCACGUGGUCAAGAUUUCCGAAGUUACACGAAACAACCAGUUUAUGCUCAAGCUUCUUUUAAAAGAGGAGCCCCCGAAAGACGCACUGAUACUUUUAUAAAAAAUCGUUCCUCUAUGGAACCAGAAAUCAUUUAUAGGAAUCCAGAAAAAUUACUUACUUUAUCGCCCAUUUCAUUGCAAGAAAGGAGAGUGUUUCAACCUGAUAUGCACAAUAAACAAGUUAAUCUUGAGGAACAAAACGUCAAAAACAACAAAGUUAAUUACUUAGGACAUAAUCCCAGGAAAGUGUUGAGUGCUCCACAGUGUGUUAAUUUGACUGAUAAUGUAAGGACUCCACCCUUGCCUCCUGUUAGAACAACAAGUGUUGGUGCCGGAAAAAAAACGCAUGUCAUAAACAAUACGAAAUUAAUUCAUUUACCUGGAGGAGGCCAUUCUGUAUAUUCAGAGUCGGAGAGUGGCUCGGAAGCUGGCGAAAUACAGAGAAUUUUCAACGAAAAUUCAAAAAAAGAAGAUGACUGGCACGGAGAUAGCUCUCGGAUUGAUGGGGGAUUGUCGGAUGGCGAGGCGAGCCGAGGUCCUGUCAGAGGACGCCCAUCUCGACGCGACGACCCGCGAAGACACACCCUCGCGGGGAACCACUUAUAUGUGCACCCACAUCACCCUGCACAGAUCAACUCGCUCGAGAUGGAGCUACCCAGGAGCGGACAACGGUCAGCUAAGCCUUCGGAAUACGCAUCUGUAAUGAAGCCUCGGGCUAGCGGACAAAGCCGUGUCUCUGACCCGAGAAUGAGGAAGCCUCCCCUGCCACGGAGCUAUCCGCCACCCACCAACAGUCUUCUAUACGACGAAGACCCUGGAAUCAUGUCGGAGGUCGAGACGGCGUCCACUGGCUUCAGGAGGGGAGGAAAGCAGAGGUCCUCUUUACCUGUAGUCAGGACGCCGAGCAAGACGCUGGAGAGACCGCUCGGUUUGGUGUUCCUGCAGUACAGAAACGAAACCAAGCGUGCCCUCCUGCCAAAUGAAAUAACAUCAAUCGACACAGUUAAAGCUUUAUUUGUUAGAAGUUUCCCAAAACAACUUACUAUGCAAUAUAUGGACAGCCCUAUGGUUAAAAUCUACAUUCACGACUCAUCCAAGGACAUGUUUUACGAACUCGAAGACGAACGGGCUCAUCUUCAUGACAUCCGGGACCGUUCUGUGCUGCGACUUUUUGAAGCAACCGACAUAGGAGGAGGAGCAUUCCCCGGUGUCGUCGGCGUGGGAUCAUUAGCUAUGCCACCGCCUGCAGCCAAUUGCUCAGGCCCUAGCAGCUGGGAUCAGGACCAGAGCUACUUCAGCGAGCCUGAAAUAGACUCCGAGUAUCACCAUCAGCAUGUCCACAAAACUAAGGUGAAGGCACCAGCUUACUAUAUGGGGAACCAAGCUCCAAGUACGCUGCCUCGUGGUGGCUCCAUGCUGCGGGCCUUCUCUCCAGCCGGCCCCCCCGUCCCCGCAGACCGAGUGAAGACCAUCCCCGUAACAGGUCCCUCGCCGGCCAAGCCGUUGCGUGCAUACGUUCCGGGGGGCGGGUCGGAAAGAUGUUUCCCCUUCACGGCGCCUGAUUGCGCCCGGGCCGCGGAACAACUAUACACGAUCCCCGGUCAUUCGGAUGGCUACAUGUCAUCCCCUGAGCGGAGUAGCAACAGGCAACCCUAUGAAGAUCCGUACUACACCCAGUUCCUGGGACCGGCUGCGGGCAGACCAGCUAUCGCACCUAUCAUUGAUGAGGAAGCAGGCGAUACGUUGAUAAUCGACGACGCGUAUCAGAUGUACGGGGUGAAUCCGAUCACCACGGCGCCCCGUCCAAUGCCUCGACCUCCUUAUGAUGCAAGGAUUCCGCCCCCAGUCGAUGAGCUGCAGCGGAUCCGUGUUGAAAAGAUGGAACGUCAACUGGCUAACUUGACUGGUCUGGUCCAAAAGGCACUGCAGGUCCCAGGACCAUCUACUGCUACGCCUCCGACAGCAGCGCCAAGACAGGAGCUCCAGAAUUAUGGGGCAGCUCGACAAGGAGCAGGACAAGAUGCCGCGAGUUUUACCAGCAACGGGAGACUUCCCAAAUUAGGGAGGGAUAAAUUUCAGAAAUCCGUGUCCUUCGAAAAGUCAGUGUCGUUCAGUGAUGAUCCGCCAGACAUGAAUUCGCCCAAACAACAUUCGCCUCAGCACUCAGCUGAUACAAAACCUGCAAAACCGGCAAUCAAAUCAUCGACAUUGCCGAGGACAUCCUCUCAAGAGCGUGAUCGCUUGAAGCCGGCUCCUCCACCGAAGCCAGCUGGACUGGUCGGCAAGCAGAAUCCAAUGGGACCGCAGAAGAUUUACACCAUCAAUGUGACUUCGGAUUUCUUCGGGCAAUUGCGGGUGUUGCAGAAACAGAGCCGCGACCUGAGGAUCGAGACCCGCAAUUUGCGUCGUUCGACCUUGACUCACGCGAUACAGAUGAGGCAGAUGAUGGCCGAGACCAUUGUCAAGAUCGGGGAGCUGGCCGCUACAUUCUGCGAUCAAAAUCCGGACGCGCAACUGACUCGCGAGGAGGAGAUGUACCGUCAGGACAUGCUGCUACUGGAGAAUGAUCUGUACGAGCUGGAGGCUACCGUCGAACGUCUUCGCGGUCAAGCUGCUAAUAGUAGGGAGACUCGGGUCAAUAUGGCGGACAUUGAACGCAUCGCGAUGGUGCUAUCAAAGAGCAGCAAGACAGUUGCUGAUUGGAAGCUUAAAUUCCCCGUGCUCCAAGACACAAUGAAGACCAAGCUGUCUGCUGAAAUGGAGAAGGUGGUGCGUAAGGAGAAGAUCCUGGAAGACGAACCGGAACGCCUCGAGCUCGCUCUACGUCGUUGUAAGAAGCUCACCGGAACACUCGUCACUCUCAAGAGGUUGGCCUGUGUUCAAGAGCAACGUCUCCCGAUGAACGAUGGUCGCAUCUCACCCGAAUCAUCCCAAAGCUCCACUUUCACGGCUUGCCCUUCCUCCGAGGAUUUCAACUCGGACAGCACCUGUCCUAUGGUGACCGCUCACAACAACAAGUUCGCCUGGAGACAGAGCCAAUACUUCAAAGAAGCUAUAGUUAUUAACGAUGCAUUGUGAAUAUCAGGAGCAGUUCACAGCCCGCUGCGUAUGAAAAUCAAUGAUUGGCUUAAAACAUCCCCUUGGGGUCCGGGUGUGCUGGACGAGGCGGCCAGGGACGCGGAGC